rnacentral:lncRNA from 1 species
GCUUAGGCCACCAUGCAGCCUUAUUUCUUGACCCUGCUUUAACUCCUACUCCUGAUGUGAGCCGGAAAAGGACUCCCCAUGUCCACCUUCUUUGGGUGUAGGUUCCAUUUCUACCCCCAGUGGGGUCCAAAAAGGUUUCUCUUCGCCAUUGCAGUUUCUUCUGCUGUUUCCUUGCAUUCUGGGGCCCUGUUUGUGCACAUAACCUUUGCCUCACCUAUGUGGCCGCCUCUUGCCCCUGAGCGCUGGCCGUCCCUGUUGGACCGGCUAGUGACCUGACUCCAUGGCCGCCCAGCAGUGCCAUCGCAGGCCGGGCUGCCUUCAGGCAGACCCAGGCACACUUGCGGUAUGUGAAAGCAAGCAUUCCUGCCUUUCAGUCAUGAAAAGAAUGUCCUUGGCCUCUACGUUACGGUGACGCUAGUGGAUAGCUUAGCCCGCACAACCCUGCCUCCUCCUCCCGGGGCCUGGGGCUGGCCCUCCUCUCCUGCCUCCCACACCUGGCCACCAGAACCCCUACCACCCUGCACCUGGUGGAUCGCUCAGAGCGCACACCCCCUGGUGCUGACCAGUCGGGGAGCGCCUGGACGCAGCGACCUCUGGCCGGCUUUCGGUGUUCUCAUGCGUGCGAAGAGAGCGCGUGAGGAAAGCCGCGCGGGGUCGGCAGGGUCGGCGGCCGGUGCGGACGCGCCUCGGCGGCGCGCGGCGGC